AAGUAAUCAGAGCACAGAAAUUGUUUCCACAGAAGAAACAGAGUGGAUUCAAUUCUUUAUCACAUACAAUCUUAACAGCCAGUCUCCAGGAGUGCGGCAGCAGAUUUGUUCUCUUCUUAAAAAGUUGUUUUGUAGGAUACAGGAAAGUUCCCAAGUACUUUACAAAUUGCAGCAAAGUAAAUCCAAACAUGAACCAGAGAAUGAGUUAGCCAAAGAAGAGCCUUCUGUUUCCUUACAAUUGUAUAAGAAUUUCAUGUCAUCCAUUUGCAACAGUCUUUUUGAAGCAUUAUUUCCUGGAUCAUCCUACUCAAGUAGAUUUUCAGCUUUAUCCAUUUUAGGUUCAAUAGCUGAAGUUUUUCCUGUCUCAGAAGGUA